rnacentral:rRNA from 1 species
UACGGAAGGGGCUAGCGUUGUUCGGAAUUACUGGGCGUAAAGCGCACGUAGGCGGAUUAGUAAGUCAGGGGUGAAAUCCCGGGGCUCAACCUCGGAACUGCCUUUGAUACUGCUGAUCUCGAGUCCGGAAGAGGUGAGUGGAAUUCCUAGUGUAGAGGUGAAAUUCGUAGAUAUUAGGAAGAACAUCAGUGGCGAAGGCGGCUCACUGGUCCGGUACUGACGCUGAGGUGCGAAAGCGUGGGGAGCAAACAGG